GGACAUUGGUGCUAGGGAGAAGCAAGGAAAUCCUAAAGUUGAUGAUGGAUUCAAGGUUGCAAAAGAAAAAAUCACCUGCAUUGCGGCAUCUGUUGAUGUGGAUGAGGGGUUUGAAUCUUCUGGAGUUGAAGAAACUAGGAGUACUGUUACAAAUGGUAGUCGAAGCCACACUAACAGACGCUAUCAUGAUAAGACAGCUAGUGUAACAACUAACUCUGGUCAUUCCAGUAAGACUGCCCUCAUUCGUAAGCAGAUUCGGGCCUAAUCAGGCAUUGGGGCCACCGCCAAAGUCCCCGGGGCUUCAAAGUUGAAAGUCAUAUAGAUAUUGAAGGUAUAGUAGAGGAUUCAAUCUCUUCAAGCUGGAAAAGCCAAGGCUUAGCACUUCUUCAAGUGGAGUGUUAUUUAAUGUUGCAUUUCAUGGUCGUUUAUCUUAGUCGGAACUUGAAUUUGGUGUUAUUGAAGUAGGGUUUUGUAGGUA